AAAAAUUAUCCAGAGUUGAAGUAGAGAGUUAGCUCGUUGACUUCACGCCAACCUGACAAUAUGUUAAGGUGGUCCUGCUAACAGCGAUAAGAAGUAUAAAGAUUUGUAACAUACUUCUUAAAG
rnacentral:ncRNA from 19 species